GUGCUCGCUUGGGCAGCACACUUACUGAAACUGGAACAACAGAGAGAAGAUGAGUGUGGCCCUUUGUGCAAAGUGACACGAAAAUUCAAGAAGCAUCCCAUUUAAAA